GUCAAAGGAAUGAAGGCAAACGGUGGAGACCUAGGCACCCAGAUCGAAGAAGGGCGCAGAUACCGGCGAAACGCUUCGGGGAGCUGGCAGCAAGCUUAGAUCCGAAGAUCCCCGAAUAGGAUAACCUCUUGAACUCCUCAUUAAAUUCAUAUUUGAGGCAGGGACAACCCAGUGAACUGAAACAUCUAAGUAGCUGGAGGAAAAGAAAGCAAAAGCGAUUCCCGUAGUAGUGGCGAGCGAACCGGGAACAGCCUAAAGCCCCCAGUCAUGGGGGCGGUUGUGGGAAGACAUAGAUUAUGCUAGGUUUUUUGUUUUCAUAGAGAGUAGCUUUUAUCAACUAGCUACGCUAAAUGAAGUUACAUAACAAAAAACUUUAAUUAGUUAUUAAGAUUAUUGUAAAGACGAAACAGCUGAAUCCUGUACCAUAGAUGGUGAAAGUCCCGUAGUUAAAAAACAAUAAAAACUGUCGAUUUAAACAAUUAUAAAAUUGUUUAAUAUCCCGAGUAGCAUGGGACACGUGGAAUCCCGUGUGAAUCAGCGAGGACCACCUCGUAAGGCUAAAUAUUCCUGGGUGACCGAUAGUGAAAUAGUACCGCGAGGGAAAGGUGAAAAGUACCCCCGUGGGGGAGUGAAAUAGAACAUGAAACCGUUUGCUGUCAAGCAGUGGGAGGGUUUAGAACCUGACCGCGUGCCUGUUGAAGAAUGAGCUUGCGACUUAUAGGAAGUGGUUUUGGUUAAGGUGUAAAAUCCGAAGCCCAAGCGAAAGCGAGUCUGAAUAGGGCGUUUAUAAUCACUUUUUAUGGACCCGAACCCGGGUGAUCUACGCAUGACCAAGAUGAAGCUUGGGUAACACCAAGUGGAGGUCUGAAAAGACCGAUGUUGAAAAAUCGGCUCAUGAGUUGUGCGUAGAGGAGAAAUUCCAAUCGAACUCGGAGCUAGCUGGAUUCCCCCGAAAUGUGUUGAGGCACAGCGGCGAACAUGAUCUGUCUAGGGGUAAAGCUACUGUUUCGAUGCGGGCUGCGAAAGCGGUACCAAGUCGUUGCAAACUCAGAAUACUAGACAUGAGAUAUUCAGCCAGUGAGACCGUGGGGGAUAAGCUUCAUGGUCAAGAGGGAAACAGCCCAGACCACCAGAUAAGGCCCCUAAAUGAUUACUAAGUGGAAAACGAGGUGCGGGUGCGUAAACAAUUAGGAUGUUUGCUUAGAAGCUGCAAUUCAUUUAAAGAGUGCGUAAUAGCUCACUAGUAAAGCGCUCGUGCACGGAAAAUGGCCGGGACUUGAAAGUAAUCUGCCGAAGCUGUGGUAUUAGUAAUAAUAGGUAGGGGGACGUGUCGUUUUGGGUGAAGUUUCUACUAAAGUAGUGAUGGACAACUCGACAGUGAGAUUGUGAGCUUGAGUAACGAAAACAUUGGUGAGAAUCCAAUGCCCCGAAAACCUAAGGGUUCCUCCACUAGGUUCGUCCAUGGGGGGUAAGGCAGGCCCUAAGACUAGGCCAAAACGGCGUCGUCGAUGGCAAACAGGUUAAUAUUCCUGUUCUAAUAAAAUUGAGAACCGAGGGACGAAGGAGGCUAAGCUGGAACUGCUACUGGAUUUCAGUGGAAGCGUUUAGGUGUUGAAAGCUAGAAUAAAAACUAUGCUUGAAUUGAGGCGUUAUCCCUACUUUUGGCUUGCCUUAAGUAGCCAGUGAUGUCAAACUUCCUAGAAAAGCUCGUACACUUUCCUAGUGUUUACACUAGGUAAACAAUUUUAUUACCUGUACCUGAAACCGACACAGGUAGGUUGGUAGAGAAUACCAAGGGGCGCGAGAGAACUCUCUCUAAGGAACUCGGCAAACUAGCCUCGUAACUUCGGAAGAAGAGGCGCCUCACUCCUUUGAAAAAGGGAUCAUGAGGUCGCAGUGACUAGGCUCAGGCGACUGUUUACCAAAAACACAGGUCUCCGCAAAGUCGUAAGACUAAAUAUGGGGGCUGACGCCUGCCCAAUGCCAGAAGGUUACGGAAGUUGGUUAUUCGUUAAACAAGAAGCUGACGACUUAAGCCCUGGUCAAUGGCGGCCGUAACUAUAACGGUCCUAAGGUAGCGAAAUUCAUUGUCUGGUAAGUUCAGACCUGCACGAAAGGCGUAACGACUCUGAGCGCUGUCUCGGAGAGAGACUCGGUGAAAUAGACUUGUCCCGUGAAGAUGCGGACUAUUAACACCUGGACAGAAAGACCCUAUGAAGCUUGACUGUAUCCUGGAAUUGGGUUUCGGUUUUUCUUGCGCAGUCUAGGUGGGAGGCUACGAAGAUUUCCUUCCGGGGAAAUUAGAGCCAUCAGUGAGAGACCACUCUGGAAGAACUAAAAUUCUAAUGGCGUUCCUUCUAUCAGGACGCUUGACAGUUUCAGGUGGGCAGUUUUUCUGGGGCGGAAGCCUUAAAAGGUAACUGAGGCGCGCAAAGGUUCCCUCAGUCUGGAUGGAAAUCAGACAUUGAGUGUAAAGGCAGAAGGGAGCUUGAUUGCAAGACCAACAAGUCGAGCAGGGGCGAAAGCCGGCCUUAGUGAUCCGACGGUUCCGAGUGGAAGGGCCGUCGCUCAACGGAUAAAAGUUACUCUAGGGAUAGCAGCCAAGUUAAUUAUUCAAUUUAUAUAAUUAAAAGGUUCAACGACUAGGAGGUGAAUAUUGAAAAUAAUAAUCUUCCCACGAAAACCCAACAACCUUUUAUUUUUAACAAAAUAAACUAAUAUAUAAAUAAAGCUAAGCUUAAAAGUAAGCUAAACUUAAAAGGUUGAUGACAUAGUCUGAGCUAUAAAGAAAUUUAUAGAAUAGUAAAUUUAAAAGAUUUACUGAAAAUUUAAACAUGUUUUUGUUUAAAUUUGAUAACAUAACUGAACAGGCUGAUCUAGAACAAGAGAUCAUAUCGACUUCUAGGUUUGGCACCUCGAUGUCGGCUCAUCACAUCCUGGAGCGGUAGUACGUUCCAAGGGUUGGGCUGUUCGCCCAUUAAAGUGGUACGUGAGCUGGGUUCAAAACGUCGUGAGACAGUUUGGUCCAUAUCCGGUGUUAACGUUAGAGUAUUGAAAGAACCCGCGUCUAGUACGAGAGGAUUGUCGCGGACAUACCAAUGGUGUAUCUGUUGUUUUUCCAAAAGCAAACGCAGAGUAGCUAUGUAUGGAGUAGCUAAGAGCUGAAAGCAUAUAAGUUCUAAUCUCAUCUUCAGAUGAAUACUCUCUUAGAUCGCAGCCAGAUAAGCUGUUUGAUAGGUGUAAAGUGUAAAAUUAGUAAUGGUUUAAGCUUAUACAUACUAAAGAUCGAUUGAAUUUGAC
rnacentral:rRNA from 1 species